AGCCGCGCGUACUGCGGGCGCAGCGGCGGGAGGCGGUGCUGCAUAGCCGGGCGGCCGCUGGGGAGUGCGGGGCAUUAGGGGCGUGCUGCGCGCGCGUGCUCAUCCCUGCAGCAGUGGCGGCAGCAGCCGCAGCCCGGCUCCCGGCGUUAGCCGGAUAAAACCGGCCCCAGCAGCAAGCUGAGCGCCCGGCUGGGUGUACCGUUCUGCUCCUCUCUUUCGCCUUUCUCUUGAGCGCGGGCCAUGCCAAGCAGCACUGCUAACCUAGAUCAGAAACUGCUUAUGCGGCACAGAGACGCCUGCGGAGCAGGUUGGGAGGACCUGGUAGAAAGGUGCUGCUAAUUUAUCUCUAUUGAAAGAGCAAGUCUGGUUAUAUAACCAUUGCCCUCGUCCACUUGCCUGCAUUAAACAGAUGGAGGAGAUUAAGGAGCAGAGAGCAGUCCUGAAAAAAGGGUCCUGAGAGAAGCCAUUGUUCAGCUCAGCUGCAUAGAGAAAGGGAGAUACCACAGGAUGUGUGAAACAGCCAGGAAGAAUGACCUUAACACAGUGUGGAGGACCAGAAAGGAAAGAUGAUUGUGGUAUUCAGAACUGGAAAAGAGUGAAAGUUACUCUGAAGCAGAGCGCUGGGGAAGAAGCAAGAUCCUGACAGUUUCUCACUUCAGGCUGCUUGGUCCUGGGAAGCGUGAAGCACAUGGCCAAAUACAUCAACAAAACAGCAAAGAAGACUUGUCUCACUGUAUACACACUCAGUUCUUCAAGAAUAUUGAACUGAUUUGAAGGAGUUGACUAUGAAUUAAUUAGUUUCAUGGACUCCCUUAGGGCAUUUUGUGACUGCAAGGCUGCCUGCCCUGUUUGCUGAUUUGGAAAUAAAGGGGUGAAGAAUUCCUUGUUCUUAUAGACAGAACAACAAAAAGCAUGGUCAUUUUUCAAAUAGAGGUGGGUCGCAUCCAGGCUCCUGAGCUUUGUGGUGUUCCCACUUCUAUAGUGGAUUGGAUACAAAGUCAGACCUUACCUCCAAAAACUGAGGAAAGGUGGAUCAGGUCUUGAACUCAUGUCUCUUCCUCCUGGCAGGCUCACACACACCAGUGGAACAGCUGAAGGAUGGUUUCGGACCUUAGGUAGUAAUGGUACCCAUUGGCAGUGAGAAGUCAUCAGUGUGGGCCCACUUCACAGUACCAAUUCAAAUGAACACCCAGUGCUACAUUAUUAAAAUGAUAAAUUCAAAUAUCUUAACAGUAGUUCAUUAAUUUCUUGGCACUCAGAUGUAAUUUAAUGCCCAGUUAGUGUGAGUAUAUGUGAAGGCCAGUGAGACAAAGAGAUAGAGGGAAAGAAAUCAGCCAGCUUUUAAAUGCCUCUCCAAGACCUUUACAGAUGAAGUACACCGGGAUCACUUACCUGUCUGCUGAGAUGCAGUCAUCUCUGGGGUGAAAUGCACCAAGAGAUUUUAAUUGCCAGGAAGGCUGAUUUUGUGUCUCAUUCAAAAUAUCGAACUACCAUUACUACAGCAUCCCUGGCGACAUACAGGGAUCAGUACCAAGUUUUUGCUGAAUCACACUCACUGCUUCUGAUCUAUAAACACCUACAGGCACUGGGGUCAGUGCAGUUUAGGGUGUAUAUGUAUGGAAGUGUUUCCCUUACAAGUUACCUGUGCUAUUUACUGUGGCACAGUUCUUCACACCAUACUAAGGCGCUGAUGCUGGACUUUUCAGAGGGAAGAACGCUUUCCCUUGAGUCAUCUGCUGGAUCGCUGUGGAUGUCCUUAAGUUCCCCUUUGCUGGAAAAGGAUGGCUGCAUGCAAAGCAGAAGACAGCAAAGUGAAUGAGAAAGGAAGGUGCAGAAUAACAUUAAAUAUUGAAAUCUCCCAGCAGUGAGGGCUCUCCUGCAAUAUUUGUGAAUGUCAUGGGAUGGGGGGAAAAUAACAGAUUUUUUCCCUUUCCUUCUGAAAAAGCAAAGUGGUUAAAGAGGUAUGGAUCCGGGAUAGUGACAAAUAGGAGCGCUAGAAGGAGAGUCUUCAUACCAGAUCAGGGACUUCAGACACAGAACCACAGCUCUUGAAGACUUGGACUGUUUCAAAUGCCGAUAAGCUGCAGCUCCCUCCAGUGUCCACAGAGAGCAAGAGCAGCAGGAUACUUCAAUUUAUUUCACUGCAGUUUGUCUGGUAAUGAUAAAACAUUGAACUGCCUCCCGGCCAACGUUUCCCUCACCAUGAACUUCCCAUCUGCCCCAGGCUGUCCAAAUGAGAGGUGUGUUGUUAGCAUAAGUGGCCUGUUUGCAUUGAGCAGCCUGGGGAGAACACACACUUCUAGCUUGAAAAAAGGAUGUAAAGUUCAAAAGCACUCUGAAGGAACCUUGCCCAGGACCAGAGGUGAAUCUGGCUGUCUAUGGGGGAUGGUGAUACAUUAAUACACUACUAGACCAAAAUGUGUGGCAUCAAUGAAAGUUUCCAAAUAAAUGUGCUUCAGGACUCACAA